AUUGAACGCUGGCGGCAUGCCCUACACAUGCAAGUCGAACGGUAACGCGGGGCAACCUGGCGACGAGUGGCGAACGGGUGAGUAAUGCAUCGGAACGUGCCCAGUAGUGGGGGAUAGCCCGGCGAAAGCCGGAUUAAUACCGCAUACGACCUACGGGUGAAAGGGGGGGAUCGCAAGACCUCUCGCUAUUGGAGCGGCCGAUGUCAGAAUUAGGUAGUUGGUGGGGUAAAGGCCCACCAAGCCUGCGAUCUGGAGCUGGUCUGAGAGGAAGACCACCCGCACUGAGACUGAGACACGGACCAGACUCCUACGGGAGGCAGCAGUGGGGAAUUUUGGACAAUGGGCGCAAGCCUGAUCCAGCCAUGCCGCGUGCGGGAAGAAGGCCUUCGGGUUGUAAACCGCUUUUAUCAGGGAAGAAACGCUCUGGGCUAAUACCUCGGGGUAAUGACGGUACCUGAAGAAUAAGCACCGGCUAACUACGUGCCAGCCGCCGCGGUAA
rnacentral:rRNA from 1 species